GAUGAACGCUGGCGGCGUGCCUAAUACAUGCAAGUCGAGCGAACAGACGAGGAGCUUGCUCCUCUGACGUUAGCGGCGGACGGGUGAGUAACACGUGGAUAACCUACCUAUAAGACUGGGAUAACUUCGGGAAACCGGAGCUAAUACCGGAUAAUAUAUUGAACCGCAUGUUUCAAUAGUGAAAGACGGUUUUGCUGUCACUUAUAGAUGGAUCCGCGCCGCAUUAGCUAGUUGGUAAGGUAACGGCUUACCAAGGCAACGAUGCGUAGCCGACCUGAGAGGGUGAUCGGCCACACUGGAACUGAGACACGGUCCAGACUCCUACGGGAGGCAGCAGUAGGGAAUCUUCCGCAAUGGGCGAAAGCUUGACGGAGCAACGCCGCGUGAGUGAUGAAGGUCUUCGGAUCGUAAAACUCUGUUAUUAGGGAAGAACAAAUGUGUAAGUAACUAUGCACGUCUUGACGGUACCUAAUCAGAAAGCCACGGCUAACUACGUG
rnacentral:rRNA from 1 species